rnacentral:rRNA from 1 species
GAUGAACGCUGGCGGCGUGCUUAACACAUGCAAGUCGAACGGAAAGGCCCAAGCUUGCUUGGGUACUCGAGUGGCGAACGGGUGAGUAACACGUGGGUGAUCUGCCCUGCACUUCGGGAUAAGCCUGGGAAACUGGGUCUAAUACCGGAUAGGACCACUUCUUGGAUGUUGUGGUGGAAAGUUUUUUCGGUGUGGGAUGAGCUCGCGGCCUAUCAGCUUGUUGGUGGGGUAAUGGCCUACCAGGGCGUCGACGGGUAGCCGGCCUGAGAGGGUGUACGGCCACAUUGGGACUGAGAUACGGCCCAGACUCCUACGGGAGGCAGCAGUGGGGAAUAUUGCACAAUGGGCGCAAGCCUGAUGCAGCGACGCCGCGUGGGGGAUGACGGCCUUCGGGUUGUAAACUCCUUUCGCUAGGGACGAAGCGUUUUGUGACGGUACCUGGAGAAGAAGCACCGGCUAACUACGUG